CCAGGCUUCGCCAUUAUUACUCGGUUUUCUCCGUUAGUUAUUUUCCGCUGCAUUAAAAUUUAUGGUUAUUAUUUCUGAAACUCUGAUAAUGUAAUUGUUGGGGGUAUGCUUCGUAGCCGAAGAUCCUGAAGAAAGAAACACCUUCAGUAGUGCCGAAGCUAUCACCUAUAAAGCUUCGGCAUAAUGACAUGUUUCAAGACGAAGGAGUGAACCGACUUAAAGAUGAAAUGACCCAUAAACCCAUGAUAGUUUGUGUCAUGAUUGUAAUCAAUUGUAAAGGGCAUAAAUGUAAUUUCACACAGGCUGUGCCCUGUGCCUAUAAAUAGAUGAACCGUAUUCCCGUACUGUUCACGCAAUCUUGUAAUCGCUUGCACGCGACACUUGGAUUAUUGCCUUCUACCAAGACGAAG
rnacentral:lncRNA from 1 species